CAUUCAUUCUCGCACUCUCGCCUGCCCUCUCCUGCUCCCAGCCGUGACUCACCCCGGGCCCGAGGUUCCUGCGGGCACCCGCGGACUCCGGCGACUCCCGCGGCCGUGUCUCUUCCCGGCGUCCAGCCGAGCUCGAAAAACCGGUGCGACUUCUUCGGGAGGCGAUUGCAGCCGACCCUCCCCUCUGCGGCCCUAGAAGAUGCAGCGAAGGAGGGGCUUGGCAGGCAGCGCGAGGUGGCUCCCGGCCGCAGGCUGAGCGCAGAGCACGGCAGACCUCCCCGAACGCGGGCGGGGAUCAAUCUGGGAAAGUUCUCUGGGUGCCGCUCCCAGCAACUUUCAGGGACAACCACAGAUGUAAUGCAGAAGCUUAGUGUCUGAUGCAUGAGUAACACAGAGAGUCAAGAUUCUGUCCGGCCAAUGUGGGUGAACAACCCACCUCCUCCCUACUUCACCACUCAAAUAUUUGUACAUUAGGGAGCAAAUAAUGGAGAUGACAAGGUGGCUCCGUGGUUAAGAGUACUGGCUGCUCUUACAGAGAAGGGGAGGGGUUCAAUUCCCAGCACCUGCAUGGCAGCUCACAACUGUCUGUAAAUCCAGUCCUAGGGGAUCCAAUGCCCUCUUCUGG
rnacentral:lncRNA from 1 species